AUGCAUGCCAUGGCGCGAGCCGUGCACGAUCGCCUCCCGUUCCUCGCCUCGCCGGAGCCGGCGCUCGCGCCGCCGGCGCCAGCUGGGAGGCGGAGGAACCCGUCCCUCUCCGAGAUGCUCAGCCUCGUCAGCGCGGCCACCGUCGACCCGGCGGGCACGGACGACGACGGCUCCGUGUUCUCCCUCCCGAUGCCGCAGCCCGCGCCUGCCGGCGUCGGCGACAGUAAUGCGGGCGGCGAGGGGCCGGGCCGGACCAUCCAGUUCCGGCUGGCGUUCACCGACCUGACCUACAGCGUCCGGCGGGCGCGCCAUGGCGGGGACGGCGUCGGCGGCGGCGGGCUCUGCCUCCCCGUGCAGCGCCGCUCCGACCGCGUCACGGCGGCGCCCGACGCGCACGCGCCGCGGACCAAGGCGCUGCUAGCCGGCGUCUCCGGGGAGGCCAAGGAGGGCGAGAUCCUCGCCGUGAUGGGCGCCAGCGGCUCCGGCAAGUCCACGCUCAUCGACGCCCUCGCCAACCGCAUCUCCCGCGACGCGCUCAAGGGCUCCGUCACGCUCAACGGCGAGCCGCUCACGGGCAACAUCCUCAAGUCCAUGUCCGCGUACGUCAUGCAGGACGACCUGCUGUUCCCCAUGCUCACCGUCACCGAGACGCUCUCCUUCGCUGCCGACUUCCGCCUGCCGCGCUCGCUCUGCGCCGCCAAGAAACGCGCGCGCGUGCACGCGCUCAUCGACCAGCUCGGCCUCCGCGCGGCCGCCAACACCAUCAUCGGCGACGAGGGACACCGCGGGGUCUCCGGAGGCGAGCGCCGGAGGGUUUCCAUCGGUACCGACAUCAUCCACGACCCCAUCCUCCUGUUCCUCGACGAGCCCACCUCGGGCCUCGACUCCACGUCGGCGUUCAUGGUCGUCAAGGUGCUCCGCCGCAUCGCCCAGAGUGGCAGCAUUGUCAUUACCUCCAUUCACCAGCCCAGCCAGCGCAUCCUCGGCCUCCUCGACCGCCUCAUCCUCCUGUCCGGUGGCCACACCGUCUUCAGCGGAGCCCCCUCCGCCCUCCCGACCUACUUCGCCGAGUUCGGGUACCCUGUCCCCGACGACGAGAACCGCGCCGAGUUCGCGCUCGACCUCAUCCGCGAGCUCGAGGCGUCGCCGACGGGGACGAAGCCUCUCGCCGACUUCCACCGCACGUGGAAGCUCAUGCACGCGGCGAGGGACGACGCCGCGGCGUGGGCGCCGACGAUGUCGCUGAAGGAGGCCAUCAGCGCGAGCAUCUCGCGCGGGAAGCUGGUGUCUGGCGCGGACGUGUCCACCGGCGAGGCGGCGUCGAUGCACACGUACGCGAACCCGUUCUGGGUGGAGAUGAAGGUGCUGACGAAGCGGUCGGCGAUCAACACGCGGCGCAUGCCGGAGCUAUUCCUCAUCCGCCUGGGCGCCGUGGUGGUGACCGGCGCGAUCCUGGCGACCGUCUUCUUCAAGCUGGAUCAGUCGCCCAAGGGCGCGCAGGAGCGGCUCGGCUUCUUCGCCUUCGCCAUGUCCACCAUGUUCUACACCUGCGCUGACGCGCUGCCGGUGUUCCUCCAGGAGCGGUACGUGUUCCUCCGGGAGACGGCCUACGGCGCGUACCGCCACGUCUCCUACGUGCUCUCCAACGCCAUCGUCUCCUUCCCGCCGCUGGUGGUCCUGUCGCUCGCCUUCGCGCUCACCACCUUCUUCGCCGUGGGCCUGGCCGGCGGCGCGUCCGGGUUCGCCUUCUACACGCUGGCCAUCCUGGCCUCCUUCUGGGCCGGGAGCGGCUUCGUGACCUUCCUCUCCGGCGUGAUCCCGCACGUGAUGAUCGGGUACACGGUGGUGGUGGCCAUCCUCGCCUACUUCCUGCUCUUCAGCGGCUUCUUCAUCAACCGGGACAGGAUACCGGCCUACUGGCUGUGGUUCCACUACCUGUCGCUGGUCAAGUACCCGUUCGAGGGGGUGCUGCAGAACGAGUUCGCGCGCGGCGGCGAGUGCUUCGUGCGCGGCGCGCAGAUCUUCGACAACUCGCCGCUGGGGGCGCUGCCGGAGGCGGUGAAGGAGCGGGUGCUGGCGUCCAUCAGCUCGGCGCUCGGGGUCGGGAUCGGCGCCGACACCUGCGUGGCCACGGGGCGGAGCGUGCUGCGGCAGGCCGCCGUGACGCAGCUCGGCAAGUGGGAGUGCCUGCUGGUGACGGCGGCGUGGGGCUUCUUCUUCCGGAUCCUCUUCUACUUCAGUCUCGUGCUCGGCAGCAAGAACAAGAGGAGGUGA
rnacentral:rRNA from 1 species